rnacentral:rRNA from 1 species
GAUUAACGCUGGCGGCGUGCAUGAAACAUGCAAGUCGAGCGCGGUACGUGGCUUCGGUCACGUAUCUAGCGGCGCACGGGUGAGUAACACGUGAGCAACCUACCUUCGAGUUCGGGAUAGCCCUGGGAAACCAGGAUUAAUACCGGAUGUGGUCACAGAGGGACAUCCCACUGUGAAAAAAGGCGCAAGCCGCUCGAUGACGGGCUCGCGGCCUAUUAGCUUGUUGGUGGGGUAACGGCCUACCAAGGCGACGAUGGGUAGCUGGUCUGA